ACUCCCGAGGAGCUCCCCCAACCUUUGUACUGCACUCUAGUGCUGUCUUUUGUAAUCCAUCCAUGCGGUCGUACCAGAGCGAUUAACGGGGGGGAAAAAAACCUCUUUUCUCUUAAUGUUUCAAAGCUCAUUAGCCAAACGAUUAUUCCUCAUUAACAGCGAAGGCUCAUUCAUUAAAAGGAAGGAUAUGCCCAAAAGAUGCCAGCGCGGUUAAUCCUGAGUCCCGUAACUGGACGCGCCUGCCCCUGGCUCAGCGCCCGGUGCCAACAGAACACCUUCAGGAUUCACAGAAAUGCAGAAACCGCUCCGCCCAGUGCAAUGAUGAGGUCCUCCUUCUGGCCGCCUUCAGAGUCUCUCCUGGUUACCUUAGGAUCAAGAUGUAGAACUCUCAGACCCUCCAGCACCAUGUCUGCCUGCACACUGCCCUGCUUCCGGCCAUGAUGGUAAUGGUCUGAACCUCUGAAACGAAAUUGAGUAUGUGAAAUAAGGCAAAAGAAACAAGCAAAAAUAAUGGCGAUCGCAUGCAACUUUCGACCAAGGGAAGAUGGUUGGAGAACUGGGGGAGUCUGUAAACUUAAUGAGCACUGGAGAAACAAGACACAUAUAGAAGAAAUGCAAGUUCUGUCAAUCCUGGAAAGCUGAGAUCCGGGCAGAUGUGUAAGGCGAGUAUGGCAGGUCAGCAUAAAGGAAAGCAUCCGUGCCCUGGGAAGCAUGGUUUGUUGAUGGAUGAUAAGGAAGGCAACCUGAGGAGUGUUGUGGGUAUGAAUUGGACGAUGCAGGCUCAGGUGCUGGCUGUGAGGAGUUCUGCUUCCGGCCAUGUGAGAGGCUAGACCAUCUCCGCUUCCAGCCAUGUGAGAGGCUGGACCAUCUCCGCUUCUGGCCAUGUGAGAGGCUAGACCAUCUUAGAUUGGAUUAGUAUUUUGAAAGGAAAAUAAGUGCUAUGUGAGGACUUAGUAGGUUGGCCACUUGCAAACUGAGAAGAGAUCUCGGAUCGCCGAUCUCUGGAAGGGUGAGAAAUGUUUGCUGUUUAGUCCCCCACACUUUGACAUAUGUCAUAGAUGCCUCGGACAGUGAUUAUCAGGGUUGUCAUAUCUUCGACCACGAUUUUUCUUUCACCCAAUUCAUCUCGGAUCCUACCCACCAACUUCUUUUUCUAUUACUCCUGUUUCAAAAACAAACAAAC